rnacentral:rRNA from 1 species
CCAGACUCCUACGGGAGGCAGCAGUGGGGAAUAUUGCACAAUGGGGGAAACCCUGAUGCAGCGACGCCGCGUGAGUGAAGAAGUAUUUCGGUAUGUAAAGCUCUAUCAGCAGGGAAGAAAAUGACGGUACCUGACUAAGAAGCCCCGGCUAACUACGUGCCAGCAGCCGCGGUAAUACGUAGGGGGCAAGCGUUAUCCGGAUUUACUGGGUGUAAAGGGAGCGUAGACGGCAUGGCAAGUCAGAUGUGAAAGCCCGGGGCUCAACUGCGGGACUGCUUUGGAAACUGUUCAACUGGAGUGCUGGAGAGGUAAGCGGAAUUCCUCGUGUAGCGGUGAAAUGCGUAGAUAUUAGGAGGAACACCAGUGGCGAAGGCGGCUUACUGGACUGUAACUGACGUUGAGGCUCGAAAGCGUGGGGAGCAAACAGGAUUAGAUACCCGGGUA